rnacentral:rRNA from 1 species
AGCGAACGCUGGCGGCAGGCUUAACACAUGCAAGUCGAGCGGGCAUCCUUGUGGUGUCAGCGGCAGACGGGUGAGUAACGCGUGGGAACGUGCCCUUCGGUUCGGAAUAACUCAGGGAAACUUGAGCUAAUACCGGAUACGUGCGAGAGCAGAAAGGUUUAUCUGCCGAAGGAUCGGCCCGCGUCUGAUUAGCUAGUUGGUGAGGUUACGGCUCACCAAGGCGACGAUCAGUAGCUGGUCUGAGAGGAUGAUCAGCCACACUGGGACUGAGACACGGCCCAGACUCCUACGGGAGGCAGCAGUGGGGAAUAUUGGACAAUGGGGGCAACCCUGAUCCAGCCAUGCCGCGUGAGUGAUGACGGCCUUAGGGUUGUAAAGCUCUUUUCUCCGGGACGAUAAUGACGGUACCGGGGGAAUAAGCCCCGGCUAACUUCGUG